UACGGGGGAGCAAGCGUUGUUCGGAUUUACUGGCGUAAAGGGCGCGUAGGCGGCCUUCUAAGUCGAACGUGAAAUCCCCGGCUCAACCCGGGAACUGCGUCCGAUACUGGAAGGCUUGAAUCCGGGAGAGGGAUGCGGAAUUCCAGGUGUAGCGGUGAAAUGCGUAGAUAUCGAGAGGAACACCUGCGGCGAAGGCGGGUUGCUGGGCUGAUACUGACGCUGAGGCGCGAAAGCCAGGGAGCGAACGGG
rnacentral:rRNA from 1 species